GAUGAACGCUAGCGGCAGGCUUAACACAUGCAAGUCGAGGGGCAGCACGGGUAGCAAUACCUGGUGGCGACCGGCGCAAGGGUGCGUAACGCGUGAGCAACAUGCCCUAUACAGGGGGAUAAUCCAGGGAAACUUGGUCUAAUAUCCCAUAGUAUUUAGAGGAGGCAUCUUCUAUAAAUUAAAGCUUCGGUGGUAUAGGAUUGGCUCGCGUGACAUUAGCUAGAUGGUGAGGUAACGGCUCACCAUGGCAAUGAUGUCUAGGGGUUCUGAGAGGAAGGCCCCCCACACUGGGACUGAGACACGGCCCAGACCCCUACGGGAGGCAGCAGUGAGGAAUAUUGGACAAUGGAUGGAAAUCUGAUCCAGCCAUGCCGCGUGCAGGAAGACAGCCCUAUGGGUUGUAAACUGCUUUUAUAUGGGAGCAAUAAGGUCUACGUGUAGACUGAUGAGAGUACCAUAUGAAUAAGCAUC
rnacentral:rRNA from 1 species